rnacentral:rRNA from 1 species
UAGGGAAUCUUCGGCAAUGGGGGGAACCCUGACCGAGCAACGCCGCGUGAGUGAAGAAGGUUUUCGGGUCGUAAAGCUCUGUUGUUAAGGAAGAACGAGUGUGAGAAUGGAAAGUUCAUGCUGUGACGGUACUUAACCAGAAAGGGACGGCUAACUACGUGCCAGCAGCCGCGGUAAUACGUAGGUCCCGAGCGUUGUCCGGAUUUAUUGGGCGUAAAGCGAGCGCAGGCGGUUAGAAAAGUCUGAAGUGAAAGGCAGUGGCUCAACCAUUGUAGGCUUUGGAAACUGUUUAACUUGAGUGCAGAAGGGGAGAGUGGAAUUCCAUGUGUAGCGGUGAAAUGCGUAGAUAUAUGGAGGAACACCGGUGGCGAAAGCGGCUCUCUGGUCUGUAACUGACGCUGAGGCUCGAAAGCGUGGGGAGCGAACAGG